rnacentral:rRNA from 1 species
AGAGUUUGAUCAUGGCUCAGGAUGAACGCUGGCGGCGUGCUUAACACAUUCAAGUCGAACGAUGAAGUCCUUCGGGGACGGAUUAGUGGCGGACGGGUGAGUAACGCGUGAGCAACCUGCCUUGCAGAGGGGGAUAACACAGGGAAACUUGUGCUAAUACCGCAUGAUGCAUACUGAUCGCAUGUUCGGUAUGCCAAAGGAGCAAUCCGCUGUAAGAUGGGCUCGCGUCCGAUUAGGUAGUUGGUGAGGUAACGGCCCACCAAGCCGACGAUCGGUAGCCGGACUGAGAGGUCGAACGGCCACAUUGGAACUGAGAUACGGUCCAGACUCCUACGGGAGGCAGCAGUGGGGAAUAUUGGGCAAUGGGCGAAAAAGCCUGACCCAGCGACGCCGCGUGAGGGAAGAAGGUCUUCGGAUUGUAAACCUUUGUCAUCAGGGACGAAGAAAUGACGGUACCUGAGAAGGAAGCCACGGCUAACUACGUGCCAGCCGCGGC